rnacentral:lncRNA from 1 species
GCCUUUAUGGUGGUGGAGUCUGCCCAGGCUGUGGACCGCAAAUAACCCUGUACAAAGAGGAAUGGAGAUUGCCUCUAUCCACCUAGAUUCAUAAGCUGGCCUGAGGUGAUCUUGGCAUCAAGGAAGGGAUGCACAUCAUCACACCAUCAGCUUCAGAGAAUGGCAGCCAUUUAUUUGUCCCGUGGGAACCAAUCUGCCCUUUUGAAGAAAAGACAAAGGUAGAAAGGAUGGUGGAGGACUACCUGGCAAGUGGUUAUCAGGUAAGCAGAAAACGUACUGUUGUUAAAAAUGAUAUGCUUUCAUCCAAUAGGUAGACAGAUUUCUUUCUAGACAGACUCAUCUUCAGAGUUUUCUUAGAGCAAAUGAAGCCUUACUCAAGGACUGAGUCCCCAGAUGAAUUUCCCCAGGGAAUGAAGUCUCCUAUACAUAAAAUGUUAACUUGAAAAUCAGUCCAGUAGCUCAGUAAUUACUACUUAAGCUUGACCUUCAUGGUGCCAACUGCAUCUUUCUUACAUUGCUGGGUGCGGUGACGGAUGAUAAAGCAGAUGAAAGUGUCCUUUUAUCAAAUCAUUCACUUAUCAGCAUUUAUCAGGUAUCUGCAGUGUGCUGAGGAGUGUGCUGCAUAGACACCAAUGGGACAGGAAGAGCUCCUAGCCUGGUUGUGCUGAGAUCAAGCGUAAGCAGUGUGCAGUGGCUCAUGCCUGUAAUUCCAGCUACUCAGGAGACAGAGGUGAGAGGACCACUUCAGCCCAGGAGAUCGAAGCUGUAGUAAUCAGCAGUUGUGCCUGGGUGACACAGUUGGACCCUGUUUUUAUAUAUAAAUAAAUAAACAGAUUAGAUAGAUGAUAGAUAGAGGAAAAUUCAUCUUUAGGAAGUACUGUUCUAAUCAAAAUAAAAAUAAAAUUUAAAAUUUAAAAAUAC